UACAUGCAAGUCGAACGGUGUCUUCGGACAUAGUGGCGCACGGGUGCGUAACACGUAUGCAACCUACCUUACAUUGGGGGAUAGCCUUUCGAAAGGGAGAUUAAUACCGCAUAAGACAGUAGUCUGGCAUCAGACAGCUGUUAAAGAUUUAUCGAUGUAAGCUGGGCAUGCGACCAAUUAGUUAGUUGGCGAGGUAAUGGCUCACCAAGACUAUGAUUGGUAGGGGAACUGAGAGGUCAAUCCCCCACACUGGCACUGAGAUACGGGCCAGACUCCUACGGGAGGCAGCAGUAGGGAAUAUUGGGCAAUGGACGCAAGUCUGACCCAGCCAUGCCGCGUGCAGGAGGAAGGCGUUAUGCGUUGUAAACUGCUUUUAUACAGGAAGAAACGACUCUUGCGAGAGGCAUUGACGGUACUGUAUGAAUAAGCACCGGCUAACUCCGUGCCAGCAGCCGCGGUAAUACGGAGGGUGCAAGCGUUGUCCGGAUUUAUUGGGUUUAAAGGGUGCGCAGGUGGUUUAUUAAGUCAGUGGUGAAAGACGGUCGCUCAACGAUUGCAGUGCCAUUGAAACUGGUAGACUUGAGUAAAGUAGAGGUGGGCGGAAUUGAUAGUGUAGCGGUGAAAUGCAUAGAUAUUAUCAAGAACUCCAAUUGCGUAGGCAGCUCACUUGGCUUUUACUGACACUCAUGCACGAAAGUGUGGGUAUCAAACAGGAUUAGAUACCCUGGUAGUCCACACUGUAAACGAUGAUAACUAGGUG
rnacentral:rRNA from 1 species